rnacentral:rRNA from 1 species
AGUGAACGCUGGCGGCAUGCCUAACACAUGCAAGUCGAACGGCAGCACAGUAAGAUCUUGCUCUUACGGGUGGCGAGUGGCGGACGGGUGAGGAAUACAUCGUAAUCUACUCUUUCGUGGGGGAGAACGUAGGGACACUUACGCUAAUACCGCAUACGACCCACGGGUGAAAGCAGCUGAUCUUCGGACCUUUCGCGAUUGAGUGAGCCGAUGUCGGAUUAGCUAGUUGGCUGGGUAAAGGCCCACCAAGGCGACGAUCCGUAGCUGGUCUGAGCGGACGAUCGGCGACCCUAGAGCUGAGCCACGGUCCAGACUCCUAAGGGAGGCAGCAGUCGGGAAUAUUAGGCAAUGGUGGGAAGCCUGAUACAGUCAUACCGAGUCGGUGACGAAGGCCUUCGGGUUGUAAAGACGUUUUGUUGGGAGAGAACCGCUGCCGGUUAAUACGCAGCGGUUCUGACGGUACCUAAAGAAUAAGCACCGGCUAACUACGUG